rnacentral:rRNA from 1 species
AUUGAACGCUGGCGGCAGGCCUAACACAUGCAAGUCGAGCGGAUGAAGGGAGCUUGCUCCUGGAUUCAGCGGCGGACGGGUGAGUAAUGCCUAGGAAUCUGCCUGGUAGUGGGGGAUAACGUCCGGAAACGGGCGCUAAUACCGCAUACGGCCUGGGGGAGAAAGGGGGGGAUCUUCGGACCUCACGCUAUCAGAUGAGCCUAGGUCGGAUUAGCUAGUUGGUGGGGUAAAGGCCUACCAAGGCGACGAUCCGUAACUGGUCUGAGAGGAUGAUCAGUCACACUGGAACUGAGACACGGUCCAGACUCCUACGGGAGGCAGCAGUGGGGAAUAUUGGACAAUGGGCGAAAGCCUGAUCCAGCCAUGCCGCGUGUGUGAAGAAGGUCUUCGGAUUGUAAAGCACUUUAAGUUGGGAGGAAGGGCAGUAAGUUAAUACCUUGCUGUUUUGACGUUACCAACAGAAUAAGCACCGGCUAACUUCGUG